UGGACAGACUGCACAUCUUUCUGCUUGUUCUAGGAGGUGUUUCAUGCUGUCAUUUUUGCGUUUCUGGAUCAGUGAUGGAGGUGACAGUCAGACCUAGAGACAACAUCACCCUGUACUGUGACUGCAAAGUGUCGACCGGAGUCUUUAUAGUGUGGUUCAGGAACUGUUCCCAUGAGAACCAGCCACCUCUUGUUCUAGACGUAACACUUGAUUACUGGAGAAACCCAAAGAACCAUUCUCGUUUUGAAUUUGUGAAGAACAUUUCUUCUGAUUCUUAUGACUUCUUAAUAACAAACAUCUCUGGUUCUGACGAGGGCUUGUACUACUGUGGAACUAAAGAGAAGAAGGUGGAAGUUAAAGAAAAGUUGACUCAAAAUAUUAUUUACAAUUACAGCAACAUCACCACAAGAGUCACAGUUGAUGACGAAAAGCGAUAUGAAGCAAGAAAUGAUA